UGCUAAUUACAGUGUUGGGCC
rnacentral:siRNA from 1 species